rnacentral:lncRNA from 1 species
UGUGGCUCUUCUCAUUUUGCAUGGGCCCUGAAAAAUAGGCAUACUUAUUCAAAAAUUCUUCUUAGAAGGCCUACCUCCAAAUAGAGACACAAGUUUGGUAUUAGCUAUUUUGUUGCUGUACACAAUACCCAACACCAACAAUUUAAAGGAGGAGAGGUUUAUUCGGAUCACAGUUUCCGGUGUUUUCCAGCGGAUUUACUCUAUGAUGCUGGCUUCAGGGCAGAAACGGCAUGAUGGAAGGAUGUGGCUGAGGAAGGCUGCUCUGUCCCGGCCCGCGGGUCAGGUGCCCUGGUAGCUGACUAAGAGGUUUCUUAUGCAAGUGACUUCAUGAUGAGGUGCUCUCAAGUGAAACUUCUAAAGUGUGAGGAAGCAGGACACAGCAGGGGAAGAGACUGAAAUGGGCUCAGCUGAAACUUGGCCUCAGGCUGAUCCUUUGGAGGAGAUUUAUCCCUAGAGUCUAGGAUGAUACCACAGAUCAUCUCCCCUUGAUCAAGAGGACUGAGCACUUACAUCAGACCUUCACUGACUGCACACUGCAUCCAGGGAGGGUGGUGGUGUAACCUGUGGAAACGGAAUUCUUAUGAGAAGAGUGCCACUCAGUCAUAUCAACUAACACAGCAGCUGGGGC